rnacentral:rRNA from 1 species
GUGAGGAAUAUUGCGCAAUGGGGGCAACCCUGACGCAGCGACGCCGCGUGGAUGAUGAAGGCCUUCGGGUCGUAAAAUCCUGUCAGAUGGAAAGAAAUGUCAUAUGCCUAAUAUGUGUAUGAUUUGACGGUACCAUCAAAGGAAGCACCGGCUAACUCCGUGCCAGCAGCCGCGGUAAUACGGAGGGUGCAAGCGUUGUUCGGAAUUACUGGGCGUAAAGCGCGCGUAGGCGGCUUUUUAAGUCAGAUGUGAAAGUCCACGGCUCAACCGUGGAAGUGCAUUUGAUACUGAAAAGCUUGAGUACUGGAGGGGAUGGUGGAAUUCCCGGUGUAGAGGUGAAAUUCGUAGAUAUCGGGAGGAAUACCGGUGGCGAAGGCGACCAUCUGGCCAGAUACUGACGCUGAGGUGCGAAAGCGUGGGGAGCAAACAGGAUUAGAUACCCCUGUAGUCC